UGUGUGGCUGUGUAAUCAGAGAUCCCAGUCCUUGCAUUUAGCACCGAAACUGUGUUAUCUACUGCUCUUAUUACACCGAGCUCUCUGCGGUAGUUCCGAGUGGUACCGUUUGGAGCGCUAAACGCUGCCGCAAUUGUCGCCGUGGAAGAGGAAGAUUCUUCCUUCCAUUAUUGAAGCCCAAGAGUAACAAUGCGUCUCGUGUACGCCGGUCACGUGUACGUGUUGUGAAUAUUUUUUGUAGCACGAGUUAUUGUGAAGUGGGGCAGCAUAAGACUUGUGUUCCAUAUAAAUGGAGAAGGAUCUAAGGUUAAAAGAGUCAAACGACAACCAGCUGCUGUACACACAAGAGUGGCGUCAUUAAUAGAGGCUCUGACUCAUUUUAAAGAAAUGUGGAGAUUGUAAAUAGUAAAAUGAUUUUUUUUAAAUGUUGAUAUGUACCUCUAUAAAUGUAAGUUUUAAUGUUGAUAAUGCACACCUAUGAAUGUAAACCUGUGUCACAUUUCUUUAUUGUUUAUAAAAAAAGAUUUAGUGAUUUGUUAUAGCCAUUUUGUAUUAUUUCAGCUUUGUGAUUAUAAAUUUUAAGCUGUUUUUUUUAGUUGAGCUAUUUUUAAUAUGUUUGAUGGUAACGGAGCAUACUAUGUAAAUUGUGGUGUAUUCGGACUUGUUUAUUGUAUUAUUGUUAGUGUGUUACCAAUAAAUUCUUAUUUGCAAUUAUUA